rnacentral:rRNA from 1 species
UACGUAGGGGGCAAGCGUUGUCCGGAUUUAUUGGGCGUAAAGAGCGUGUAGGCGGCCAGGUAGGUCUGCUGUGAAAACUCGAGGCUUAACCUCGAGCUGUCGGCGGAAACCAUCUGGCUAGAGUCCGGAAGAGGAGAAUGGAAUUCCCGGUGUAGCGGUGAAAUGCGCAGAUAUCGGGAAGAACACCCGUGGCGAAGGCGGCUCGCUGGACUGCAACUGACGCUGAGGAACGAAAGCUAGGGGAGCAAACAGG